rnacentral:rRNA from 1 species
AGUGAACGCUGGCGGUAGGCCUAACACAUGCAAGUCGAACGGCAGCACAGUAAGAGCUUGCUCUUACGGGUGGCGAGUGGCGGACGGGUGAGGAAUACAUCGGAAUCUACUUUUUCGUGGGGGAUAACGUAGGGAAACUUACGCUAAUACCGCAUACGACCUACGGGUGAAAGCAGGGGAUCUUCGGACCUUGCGCGAUUGAAUGAGCCGAUGUCGGAUUAGCUAGUUGGCGGGGUAGAGGCCCACCAAGGCGACGAUCCGUAGCUGGUCUGAGAGGAUGAUCAGCCACACUGGAACUGAGACACGGUCCAGACUCCUACGGGAGGCAGCAGUGGGGAAUAUUGGACAAUGGGCGCAAGCCUGAUCCAGCCAUACCGCGUGGGUGAAGAAGGCCUUCGGGUUGUAAAGCCCUUUUGUUGGGAAAGAAAAGCAGCAGGUUAAUACCCCGCUGUUCUGACGGUACCCAAAGAAUAAGCACCGGCUAACGUCGUG